GACGAACGCUGGCGACGCGCCUAACACAUGCAAGUCGAACGAGCGAGAGAGAGCUUGCUUUCUCAAGCGAGUGGCGAACGGGUGAGUAACGCGUGAGGAACCUGCCUCAAAGAGGGGGACAACAGUUGGAAACGACUGCUAAUACCGCAUAAGCCCACAGGUCGGCAUCGACCAGAGGGAAAAGGAGCAAUCCGCUUUGAGAUGGCCUCGCGUCCGAUUAGCUAGUUGGUGAGGUAACGGCCCACCAAGGCAACGAUCGGUAGCCGGACUGAGAGGUUGAACGGCCACAUUGGGACUGAGACACGGCCCAGACUCCUACGGGAGGCAGCAGUGGGGAAUAUUGCACAAUGGGGGAAACCCUGAUGCAGCGACGCCGCGUGGAGGAAGAAGGUCUUCGGAUUGUAAACUCCUGUUGUUGAGGAAGAUAAUGACGGUACUCAACAAGGAAGUGACGGCUAACUACGUG
rnacentral:rRNA from 1 species